rnacentral:pre_miRNA from 1 species
UUACUUCCCUGAGGGGUGUGCUUGAGAACACAGGCGCAUCUGGCUUUUGAUUAGGCUAAUCUAUGUGCACUUAUGUUCUCAGGUCACCCCUUUGGGAUCUCC